rnacentral:tRNA from 1 species
GCCCCGAUGGUGAAAUAGGUAGACACAGCGGACUUAAAAUCCGCGGCCUCUGACCGGGCGUACCGGUUCGACUCCGGUUCGGGGCACCA